rnacentral:rRNA from 1 species
AGCAACAAAUGCCCUGCUUCCAGGAAAAGCCUCUAAGCAUCAGGUAACAUCAAAUCGUACCCCAAACCGACACAGGUGGUCAGGUAGAGAAUACCAAGGCGCUUGAGAGAACUCGGGUGAAGGAACUAGGCAAAAUGGUGCCGUAACUUCGGGAGAAGGCACGCUGACACGUAGGUGAAGUGAUUUACUCAUGGAGCUGAAGUCAGUCGAAGAUACCAGCUGGCUGCAACUGUUUAUUAAAAACACAGCACUGUGCAAACACGAAAGUGGACGUAUACGGUGUGACGCCUGCCCGGUGCCGGAAGGUUAAUUGAUGGGGUCAGCGCAAGCGAAGCUCCUGAUCGAAGCCCCGGUAAACGGCGGCCGUAACUAUAACGGUCCUAAGGUAGCGAAAUUCCUUGUCGGGUAAGUUCCGACCUGCACGAAUGGCGUAAUGAUGGCCAGGCUGUCUCCACCCGAGACUCAGUGAAAUUGAACUCGCUGUGAAGAUGCAGUGUACCCGCGGCAAGACGGAAAGACCCCGUGAACCUUUACUAUAGCUUGACACUGAACAUUGAGCCUUGAUGUGUAGGAUAGGUGGGAGGCUUUGAAGUGUGGACGCCAGUCUGCAUGGAGCCGACCUUGAAAUACCACCCUUUAAUGUUUGAUGUUCUAACGUGGACCCGUGAUCCGGGUUGCGGACAGUGUCUGGUGGGUAGUUUGACUGGGGCGGUCUCCUCCUAAAGAGUAACGGAGGAGCACGAAGGUUGGCUAAUCCUGGUCGGACAUCAGGAGGUUAGUGCAAUGGCAUAAGCCAGCUUGACUGCGAGCGUGACGGCGCGAGCAGGUGCGAAAGCAGGUCAUAGUGAUCCGGUGGUUCUGAAUGGAAGGGCCAUCGCUCAACGGAUAAAAGGUACUCCGGGGAUAACAGGCUGAUACCGCCCAAGAGUUCAUAUCGACGGCGGUGUUUGGCACCUCGAUGUCGGCUCAUCACAUCCUGGGGCUGAAGUAGGUCCCAAGGGUAUGGCUGUUCGCCAUUUAAAGUGGUACGCGAGCUGGGUUUAGAACGUCGUGAGACAGUUCGGUCCCUAUCUGCCGUGGGCGCUGGAGAACUGAGGGGGGCUGCUCCUAGUACGAGAGGACCGGAGUGGACGCAUCACUGGUGUUCGGGUUGUCAUGCCAAUGGCACUGCCCGGUAGCUAAAUGCGGAAGAGAUAAGUGCUGAAAGCAUCUAAGCACGAAACUUGCCCCGAGAUGAGUUCUCCCUGAGACUUAAAGUCUCCUGAAGGAACGUUGAAGACGACGACGUUGAUAGGCCGGGUGUGUAAGCGCAGCGAUGCGUUGAGCUAACCGGUACUAAUGAACCGUGAGGCUUAACCUUACAAC